UACGUAGGGUCCGAGCGUUGUCCGGAAUUACUGGGCGUAAAGCGUGCGCAGGCGGCUUUUCAAGCGCCACGUGAAAGCCCCGGGCUCAACCCGGGAGGGUCGUGGCGAACUGGGAGGCUUGAGGCCGGUAGAGGUGGGUGGAACUCCUGGUGGAGUGGUGAAAUGCGUAGAGAUCAGGAAGAACACCCGUGGCGAAGGCGGCCCACUGGGCCGGUACUGACGCUGAGGAGCGAAAGCGUGGGGAGCGAACAGG
rnacentral:rRNA from 1 species